AGAAGAAGAAGAAAGAAGAAGAAAGAAGAAGAAGAAAGAAGAAGAAGAAGAAAGAAGAAGAAGAAGAAAGAAGAAAGAAGAAAGAAGAAUCCAGUCUGGCUAGAAGUUGUGUGCAGCAGUCUUAGGAGCACACAAAUCUGGCAACCUUCCAUGUUCUCCAGGAAACUGACAACAGCAGCAGUGUUCUUGGUUCUUCAGCAGCCUGCCUGGGUCUACAGUGGGCUUAUGAGGCCUGCCAGACUUGGGAAGUGGGGCAAAUGCAGCAGCCUCAUCAGCACGCUACACCUAUGAGGCCUGCCAGACUUGGGAAGUGGGGCAAAUGCAGCAGCCUCAUCAGCGUGCUACACCAAUCACUCACUGUGUUGUCCUCAGCCAGACUCCUGUUUGAGUGGAAAUAAAUGGGAGAUUGUGGACAGCCUUGCGUAAUGUAAAUGCCUCCUUAUGUUUCUUAAUAAAUAGGAGAUCGUGGCCAGCCUUGCAUAAUGUAAAUGCCUCCUUAUGUUUCUUAUUCCUUAUAGUCAUUUAGGCAAGUUGAGAGGAUGGGAGGAAGCAAAAUAACAAAUGCAAUUAGCCUUUGUCUGGCUCAUCAGACAGACAGACCACACUCUACAUCAACUAAACAGCUAACUGAGACACACACUGCUGUUGCCUGUUCCUGGAAACCAUACAACAUUGCCAGUUGUGUUCCAAAAGAAAUGGUAUCAGCCUUGUGGCACCAAGAUUUUACAUGCAUACUGUUGUAAUGUAACUUACUAAUUGUAAUUCGUUUAGAACUAGGCAAUAAAAUAAUUGUCAACACAGUA